CAGCCCUAAACGAUGCGCGUUAGGUGUAUCGGUGACCACGAGUCACCGAGGUGCCGAAGGGAAACCGUGAAACGUGCCGCCUGGGAAGUACGGUCGCAAGGCUGGAACUUAAAGGAAUUGGCGGGGGAGCACCACAACGGGUGGAGCCUGCGGUUUAAUUGGACUCAACGCCGGGAAGCUCACCGGAUAAGACAGCGGAAUGAUUGCCGGGCUGAAGACCCUGCAUGACCAGCUGAGAGGAGGUGCAUGGCGUAGUCGUGU
rnacentral:rRNA from 1 species